GCGACAUCAGCCCGCCGACGUCCGGCCCCGUCCUUCCGGGAUAAGCGGGGGAGGCGGGGCGGAGGCGGGCUUGGGACUGGCUGAGGCUCCGGUGGGUGGGUGGGUUCAGACUAAGGGGACUGCGGGUCGGCGUUGGGCUCAGUGGGCUCGAACGAAGGACUCUCGGGCAGCGAGUCGGCGCGGCGCCUCCUGACGGGUAGCAGGGUGGCGGGUCGCGGCUUCCCGGCCAGCCAGUGCCCUCCCCGCGCGGUCCCAGUCGGCUUCUCCUCGGAUCCCUGUGGCCAGCGCCGCGGUGCGGGCCCCGCGCAGAGGCACCUGCUGCUGAGGGACCCCGAGGCCCGCCCAGGUGCUCGUGAUGGGGCUGAUCUUCGCCAAACCGUGGAGCCUCUUCUGUAACCAAGAUGUCACCUCUAAUAAAUCUAUGACACUCCCAACUCCAUCUCAGCAUCUCCUUGGAGGACCCAACAGACACACAGCAAUUACUUUUGGAUUGGUUAAAUCCUUUUGAUGCUUUUAUUUAAGCUCUUUUAUGGCAAAUCUUGCAGUCUCUGAUCGAUGGCUAAUCUAGCCCCAUUUAUUAGAUGUGACCUUUCUAAGGAAUCUCUCUAAUGUCCUAUGUAUUAACAAGUUCUCUCCACUCUGGCUGGAGGGAAAUAAAAUGAUUCCUGGUGCAGUAGGCUAUGGGAAUUGUUUGUCUCACAACACCGUGGUAAUUGUAUUUUUCUUAGAACGUGUCCUUGCCUGGUCUCAUAAGGUUUCAACACCUACAAACGUGCAGAUGUGUAUUUAGCCAAAGACUCAAGGGGAACCUUUUCCAGAUUUGGGGAACUCUUUCCCUACAUAGCUCCCUCUUUUGGGGAAGUGUGUCCUGCAAAUUCUAGCCACCUCAGUCUCCUUGAAUGCCAGUGUUGGUCCCCUUAAGUCAAUAAAAUUGUCAAGUGUUUUUUGGAUUCCUCUUUCUGCACUGCAGUUUGGAAGUUGCCUUCAGAUGAAAGCCUGGAAUGAGGUAGGGUGCAUCUCAUUUGUUUUUCUUCUCUCAGGAAUCCAGGCCUGUGCUGCCUGUUGUUCAACAUCUUGUCCAGUUUUCUAGUUGUUUCCUGUAGAAGUAUAAUUCUAGACUCUGUUACUUCCUAAGGGUUGGAAGCACUAGUCUUGAAUUAUAAAAAUGCAGACCCAAAUGGCUUAAUAAUGAUUUUCAUCAAACAUUUAAGGAAGCAAUAAUACCAAUCUUGCACUAAUUCACUAAUUCCAUAAGAAAACAGAUAAAGAGGAAUCACCCCUAGUUUGAUAUGGCUGACACAAUUCUGGAUACAGACACUUCUCAGUGACAUUACAAGAAAACUAUGGACCACCAUCCUUGGUAAAAUCAUGCAUUAAAGCUUACUAAAAUACUAGCAAACCAAUUUCAGCAAUCUCUAAGAAGGAUAAUGCAUCUUGUCCAACUGGAGUUCAUCCUAGGAGCCCAAGGUUGGUUUAAAUUUCAAGUUAACCAAUGUAAUACAUACAGAACAGAUUAAAGAAGAAACAUCAUACAAUCAUCUCAACAGAUGUAGAAAAAAUAUUUGUUCAAAUAAAUAUCCAUCUCAUAAUUAAAACUGUCAGAAAACUAGGAAAAGAAGAGAACUUCCAGAAUCUAGUAAAGAGCACUUAUGAAAAACUUACAGUUAAUAUUAAGCUUAGGAAUGGAUUAUUAAAUGGCUUCCUUCUAAAUUUAGUGAACUGCUAAGAAUGCUCAGGCUUACUAUUUCUAUUCAACAUUGUACUGUAGGUCCUCAUCAGUACCACAGGGUAAGAAAAAGAAAUGAAAGCAAUAAAGUAUGCAAAUGUAAAAGUGAAAUAUCUCAUUUAAAGAAGGCAUGUUUUAUAUGUAGGAAAUCUAAAGGAAUAUACCAAAACAAAGAACAACAGCAACAACAAUAAAACUUAAUAAAUCAGUAAUUCAAAGUCAGUAUCUAGAAGUCAAUUGUGGCUACAUAUAUUAACAAGCUGGACAAAGAAAAUUUAAAAAUCCUACUAUCUACAAUAGCACCAAAAAUAUGAAAAGCUUAGAGAUAAACUUAAUAAUAAAUGGAUAAGACCUUUAUACUAAAAUAAUAAAACACUGUUUACAGGAAUUAAAGGAGGUAACUAAAAUUUUAAGAUAUAGUACAGCCAUGGACUGGGAGACUCAAUAUUGCUACGAUGUUAGUUCUCACCAAUAAAAAUCCCAGCACUCUAUUUAAAGAAACAAUAAGUUUAUUCUAAAAUGUAUUUGAAAAAGAAAAUGAUCUGGAAUAGCCAAAACAAUUUUUUAAAAAGAAGAAAGUUAAAAGGACUUACUCUGACAUCAAGACUUUAUUAUACAGCUACAAUAAUCAAAGGCCAGGUGGUACAAGCACUAGGACUUAAAAUAUAUGAAAGGAAAGAAUACUCUAGAAAUAAACUGACACAAAUACAAUCAGAUAAUUUUUGAUAAGAUCAUCACAGCAAUUUAAUUCAAUUCCACAAGUGAUGGGACAAAUUGAUAUCUAUAUGGAAGAAGAUAGACCAUCAGCCCUUACCUCAUAUUAUAAACAAAACUUAACAUGAGAUGGGUCAUAGAACUAAUUUAAAAAAAGAAAGCAAAAUAUACAUAUCAUUUUUAGGAGAAAAUACAGGGAACUAUCUUCACAACCUAGGAGAAGGCAAAUAUUUGAGAGGUCAAAGAAACAAUGAUAAAAGAAAAAAAAUUAUAAACUGGACUUAAGUUAAAAACUUGUGCUUAUUAAAAGACACCAUUAAAAUGAAUCAUCAAGCUACAGACUAGAGGAAAUAUCUGCAAUACCCACAUCAAACAAAAGAAUUCUCUUCGGAAUACGUAAAGAAUUCCCAUUAUUCAAGGAAAAAAAAUCCAUUAAAAAAGGGUAAAACAUUUGAACAGACACCCCUGAAGAAGAUAUAAAAAGCACCUGAAAAAGUUCUCAAUAUAAUUAGUCAUAAGAGAAAUCUAAAUUAAAACUGCAAAGAUAAGACUACCAUUCUUCAGAAUGCUACUUUGGAAUGACCAAAAUGAAACUACUGAUAACACCAAACGUAGAGGAGAAUGUGGGGCAGUCACAUUUCUCAUACAUUGUUGGUAAAAGUUUUAAAUAGUAUGGUAACUUUUAAAAACUGGCAGCUUCUUAAAAAGUGAAAUAAACCUGCCUUAUGAAUGAGCAACACCAACUGCUAGGUGUUUACUGAAGAGAAAUAAAAAUAAACCUCCACAAAAAGCUUGUUACAAGAAUGUUCACAGUAGCUUUAUUCAUAGUAGCCCCAAAGUGGAACAUUUCAAAUGUCUAUCACAGGAGAUAUGUACACAAACUAGUGUAUUCAUACAAUUGAAUACUAUUCUACAAUUAAAAUAAACUAUUUAAGUAUGCAAAAACAUGUAUAAAUCUGUGAGACAUUAAGCUGAGUAAAAGAAAGUAGAUGUGAAAAAGGUCCAGAAUGGACAAAACUAAUCUAUGCUGGUAGAAAUCACAGCAGUGAUUGCCUUAGUGAGAGGGGCUGACUUGGAAGAGGCCUGAUGGAACUUAAUGGGUUAAUGGAAGUGUCCUUCAUCUUGAUUAGUGUGAGAGAAACACGGGCUUGUAUUUCUGCCAGAAAUCAAAGAACUUUACACUCAAGAUCUCUAUGUACAUUUAUUUACAAAGCACAGAGUGGAUUCUUGGUAAAGUAAUAGCGGCCAAUUGCUCUACAGGCACAAGGGCCCACAAGGAGAGGAUUUACAUGGGGAGUGUUAUUCAAAACUAAAAUUCAGAAUUUACAGGCAUGGAAGUCAGUCAUGUAUAGGCCCUUCAAAGAUCUCAGGCCUUUAAAAAUAAAUCCUUAAUAAGAUGGCUAGUAUCAGAAAAAAAAAAGACAAAAAGAAAAUAAGAUGUGGAGAAAUUGGAACCCUUGUGCAUUGUUGGUGAGAAAAUGUAAAAUGGUGCAGCCACUAUGGAAAACAGUAUAGCAGUUCCUCAAAAUAUUAAACAUAGAAUUAAUGUGUGAUCCAGCAAUUCUACUUUUGCAUGUAUACCCAAAAGAACUAAAAGCAAUGGCUCAAAUAGAUAUUUGUAUACCCAUGUUCACAGUAGCAUCAUUCAUAGUAGCCAAAAGAUGGAAGCAACCAGAGUGUCCAUUGACAGAUGAAUGGACAAGCAAGAGGUGGCACAUAUAUAUAUUAUAUAUAAUGGAAUAUUAUUCAGCCUUCAAAAGGAAGAAAAUUCUGACACAUACUACAACUGGGUGAAACUUGAGGGCAUUACACUGAGUGAAAUAAACCAGUCAGAAAAAAGACAAACACCAUAUGAUUCCACUUACCUUAGGUACCUACCAGUAGUCAAAUUCAUAGAGACAAAGCAGAAUGGGGGGGUCAGGUAUAGCUCAAGUGGCAGAGUGCAUGCUUAGCACGCACAAGGUCCUGGGUUCAAUCCCCAGUACCUCCUCCAAAAAAUAAAUAACUAAACCUAAUUACCUCCCCUCCAAAAAAAAAAAAGAAAAAAAAAGAGACAAAGUAGAAUGUUGGUUGUCAGAGGCCAUUACUCUUUCAUGGGCAUAGAGUUUUAGUUCCGCCAGAUGAAGGGUUCAUUAGUUGAAUGGUGGUGACAGUAGUACAACAAUGUAAAAGUACUUAAUGCCAUGAAACUAUACGCUUAAAACGGUUAAGAUGGUAAACUUUAUGUGUAUUUUACCUCAAUUAAAAAAAAAAGAUCUCUAAAAACAUUCAAAGGCGUUAACUACCUAAGUCCACUGGACUUUAUCUAUACAGACUCACCUAGGUAACUACGACUUGGAAAAAUUCUCCCUGUUGUCCAUAGUUCUUUUCCUUGUUCCAACUUGUGGAUCAUAUCGGGCUUAGUCAUGUGAAAGCCUGAAAAUAAAAAAUAAGACUCGGUGUAAGCUGUUAGGUUUCAAAAGUAUUGAAUUUUUAAAAUUUAUUUUUAUUUUUUAUUUUUGGUAUAUAUAUAGAUUUUUUUAUUGAAGUAUAGUCAAUUUACAAUGUUUUGUCAAUUUCUGGUGUACAGCACAAUGCUUCAGUCAUACAUGAACAUACAUAUCAAAACUAUCGAAGAGAAAGAUACAGCCUCAAGGUGGCAGACAAGGUACACACGAACGUCUUACCAAAGUUAGGCAAGUGAGAACAUCACUGCGCUUUCUACGAACAAAAAGGGAUUCAUCCCCUCUGAUCUUUGAAAUUCAAAGUUCCACAUGUUUCAGAAUUUCUUGAAAGGAGAUGCGUAACAUUGAAGGAUUCAAGGAAUUUUGCUUACCCACAGAGACGAAGUGACAAUAGUUUUCCAACAUGACAUCCCUGUAGAGGGCCUUCUGAGCAGAGUCCAGUUGCUGCCACUCCUCCUGGGUGAAGUCCACAGUCACAUCCUUGAAUGACACUGAUCCCUGUAAGGGCACACUCUAGUUCAUCCUAAAGUAAUUGGAAUGAGUGAGAACUAGACAUUGGAGACCAUGUUUAGUGGUCAGAAUAGUUUUUUACUUUGUGUUUUGUAUUGCAGAAAACUUUCUCUGAAAAUAUAUUCAUCUAUAUUUACUUAUUAUCUCAUGCUAAAAAUAUAUGAGCUCAUACUAUCUACCUUGAAUGUGGUUGGCUGCUUGGUGCACCAAAAUGAUUAAAACCCUGACCUUGCUUAUAAGAAGUUACAAGCUAAAAGAGAGGCAAAAUGUAAAUACAUACACUGAAUAGAUAUUACAGAAGCAAUGACAGAAUUAUGUACAAGGGAAUAUUCUACAAAGUAAAGAAAAUUUCAUUUUGUAUUCCAAGACUUCAUUGAGGACAUAAAAAAUUUGUACUCACAAUGAAUUUGUUUUAUAGGACUACAUGACACUGGCUUUUAAAAUUCAUGGGGAGAGUAAACCCAGUUAGCAAAUUCAGGAAAUAGCAAAAGGUACAAUGUGUUAUGAAAGAGUCUUUGAGCUGUAAGAAGAAAAAGGUAUAUGGAGGUAGGCAGUGGGCAUAUUUAUGUAACAAUACUGGAUUUUUUUUUUUCCCCACAGAGCAGUGGUCUUAAAAAUGUCCUGAGCACAUUUCCAACACAUUGCAUUUAUUUGUAAAUCAUCAAUUGGCAUUAAUGGCAAUCCACUUUCUUAAUGAUCACCAUUUUCAAAUGUAAACUAUUAGUAUUUUCCUUCUUUUCAGUACAUUCCAUUGUAAUGCAUACCCUACUUUGGGCCUGCUGCUUUAUGGAGUAUAAAUAACAAGAAGAAAUGUUAAAUCAGCACAUGUUAUGGGACAAAAUUUGUACUUUAGAGGUAAUGCUCCUGAACACUAGAGAAGGCCUGAGGUGUGUUAGGUGGGAAAGACAACUGAGUAACCCCUGUUAGAGAUGUGUCCUAGAUUAAGGUCGUAUUAGUGGUCUAGACAGGGGACAAUUGGUUGCUACAUGAUGAGUUUCAUAAAUUGGUUGUAGAGUGGAAGAAAGAAAGGCAGAGCUCAUCUGCCUAGCAAGUGGGUAGGUGCUUAGAGUGAAAAAUGGAAAUAGGAAACAGAAGGAAGAAUAACUGGAUGAAAGGAGGUAAUGAGGUAAACAUUGGACAUGUACUUGAAGUGUCUAUGGAACAGACAGGUGGUGAUUGAUGUUGGAGAUUAGAUAUAUGGUUCUGAUGCCCUGGACAGAGGUCUAGGAUGGAGAGAGGUUAUCUCAGAGUCAUGAGAAUCAGAUCAGUAUAAACUCUGUAGUGAAUGUGACUGUGCACAGAGAAAAACAGACAGGGAAGAGAAGCAGUUAGCAUCUGUGGAAAAUUGGUCAAGACUGGUAGAUGAAGAGGAGUUUUAUGAGAAAGAUAAGAAAACCAGACAGAGUACCACCUUGGAUUCAAGAAUAGAACAUCUCAAGAAUGGAUUAGCAUAAGCGUCUCCGUCUCCUGCACCCACAUACAAAAAUUAGAAGAAACUAAAAAGAUAAGAAUAAAUCUAUAGCGCCACAUUGGAGAGGUUUCCACUGGCAGGGCACAGUUUGUAGGAAUUGCUGGCAGACAUGCAUAAAACAUAAGGACCAGAGAGGAAUGUAAAAUCUCAGUUUUCUGUACAAGUCUGCAAGCAAAUCUCUGUUCUAAAAACCUCACAAAACAGGAAGUCUAAUCACAAAAUAACAAUGUGAUCUACCCAUUCUGCUUCCCACCUGAUCACUACAAAACCUUGGUCACUGGAGAUGAUCAAGGUUUUUCGAUGUCUGCUUCUUGACUCACAAUUUAGAUCUCCAAUCAGUGUCUAGACAAGAUAGAUUCAUUCAAGUAUUAUAUUCCCACUUAAAUCAAGGUAAUACAUUUCUGUUCCAGAAGUAUUUUUUUUUAAGACGACUGAGGAACGAGAUGGUGAAUGAUAAACGCAAUCAAUAUGUGAACAUUGGCUACAUCUAGAAGGUGCACUUGGGGAAGGCUUAUGUUUAUAUGGUUGGAAUAAGAGAAACUGGGAACAGGGCUGCAACUAGGAGGAGGCAGGUGAGGCACCUACGGUACAAAAUUUAGGGAUGGGCAGCCCUGACAGUAUUCAAAUUUUGUACCUAGGCCACUUGCUUGCUCUACUGGAGACCAGUAUUCUAUCCAUGUCUGCCAGCAGUUCCUACAAACUGUGGCCUGCCAGUGAAAACCUUGAUGGAAGCAAGUUCCAAUAUCCAGAAAAUUUAAGGCUAGGGAAGCAAAUGUUCGUGUAACCUAAAACCAAGUUAUUUCAGUAAGAAAGGAAAUAUCAUCUCACCUGAGGCAUGGCUUUAAGAAUUUGCCUUCUCUUUUGAGCUCUCCUUUUGGACAAGGGAAGAGUCCUGAGAAGGGAGAGAUGGGAGGAUAUAGAGCCUUGUGAAUCCAUAUUUGACGUAGAUCUCCCAGAAUAACUCAGUGUCUGUGUUAAAUCUGUGUCAACUGUCACAGUUUCAGCACUUGCCUACUCUGUGGACCCCACACAAAUUCAGGAUGGAGAUUAGUGAGAAAAUAAACAAAUCCUGCUCCCUUACCAAUGCCAGAAACCUGGUUUCGUGGUCAGGAAGAUAUCUGUUGUAACUUGGAGAGAGGGAACACUGUGUUUUCCCCCUCUGUAGCUGUACCUUCCAUCUCCCAUGGAAGACAGAUUUAUCAUACAUUUCCAAAUCAUUCUUCAUGGAUUUUCUGUGAAUUUAUACUGUCACCAGCAGUGCAUGACAAUACAUCUCUCCAUCCUAUGAAUGCAGUUGACAAUAACUUCAAUUUCUGCCUACCAGAUAUAUAGUAUAGUUCUAAUUUACACAUUUCUUACUAUGAGUAUAAGCUCCUUUAAUUUCUUUUCUGUGAUAUCUUAGAGUAUGUCUAUUUUUCUCAUGUUUAUUUUGUAAUUGGGUGACAUUAGCUUUUAUUUUAAUUAAAUAAAUUAACCCUUUAAGUUGCAAACAGUUUUUCUCAUUCAUAUAUCAGUGUUGAAAGUGCUAGUUGUGAGUAAAAAUUGUUUGCUUUUUCCUGCAUACUACCCAUGGAACGCUACUCAUUUCAGCGUAUUGGUUUUAGUUCAUGUAAUGUUUCCCUGUGAUGAAUCCCACCAUCUGGGAAUUAUGAGAUCUUAUCUAUUCCUUUCCAAUACUCAUACCUCUAUUUCAUAUGCUAAACUGCUAUUGAGUUACAAUUUUGGAGGCAGGCUUAAUGACCACUAUUCAGAAAAUCAAAUCUUACAUACCCAACUAGCGGUCAUACAGUUUCUCAAUCACAAAACCAUCACAAAUCGUAACAGUAGGUUACAAACACGCAGAAUUACAUUCAAUCACUUCCUUCAGAAAAGCACCAUCCCGCGGCACCCACAUGCCAUUCACAAUCUCAGACAGCACAUUUCAUAAUUUCAUGCAAAGUCACAAAAACCACAGCACAAACCAUUUAGCUUCUCUAUCGUCACCUGCGGUGUCAAACACGAUUCACAUACAAUCUGAAGAGAGACACAGGCAGAGGAAUCCCCACGCAGCAACAAGACUCCGUCCACUUUCACACACAACCAGCCGCAGCAUCCCAGAGAGUAGGAUGCACCCAAAAUGCAGCAGGUUGGGCACAGGAGGCCGUCUCCAUUUGGUACACACACACACACAACACCCGCUGUGUGAGGCCCCGCUCCUGGCAGUGUAGCUUCCUUGGGGUCAAAACAGACAAAACCUCCCCUAGGAAAACUCGCUCCAGGUCACAGUCGUUUAUCACCCUCAGGGUCACGCCCACGGACCACGCCCGAGGCCCCGCUCGCACAGAUCUGUCUGGUUACUACGGGCCCGGUUCCGGUUCCCUCCUCAGAAUUACCAGGCCCACUCGGACUCUCGGCUUCCUCCCCGGACUUCCCACCGGGUCCCGCUUCUCUAGUCUGCCCUCCAGGGCUAGAGAUCCCACUUCCCGCUUCCUGGUCAAAGCCCCCAGGACCUACGAACCUCACCCCGAGCCGAGGCUCAGUCGACUGCGCCUGCGCACUCCCGCGUGGCUGGCGCUCCCAGGAGUCCACGGGGCGGCGGGUUAGGAGCCGCGCGGUCCCAGCUGCGGGCGGUCGGGUUUGCUCGUGUCAGCGUCCGCGCUUUUCCGGUUUUGACUGCGUUUCUCACAGGCCCUGGGGACUAAUGAACUUCGGCUUCUGGUUCAUUUUCCGCUAGCAUUGAGAUCACAGUUUUCCGUGUGUUCUCACCUCUGUGGUCUCUGUGCUUCUCUAAGAGGGAAACCUUGAAGAGUAUUGACAAGUACUCAACCAUUUUUAACCAUGGCUUUGGGAUGGGUAACAUUCAGGAAAGCAGCCCGAGACCUCUCUCAAGAGGAAUGGGAAUAUCGGGUUCUGCUCUGAGGGAGUUGUACUGGGAUGUGAUGAUGGAGAACAGCAAGUUGGUCCCACGGGGUAAGCUGUCUACCUCAAAUAAUUUAAAUAUUCGCUCUGGAAUAUCAAGACUAUCUUUUAAGAAACAGCAUCAGAAAAAAGGAAGGGAAAAGAUUUUCAAGGACUCUACACAGAAAACUAUAAAAUAUUAUUUAGUGGAAUUAAAGACAAAACAGGAGGAGGGAUAGAUCAAGUUUGUGAAUUACAAGAUUCCAUGUUUCUAAAAUGUCAGUUCUCCUCUAAUUAAUGCCAUAGAUUCAGUGUAAACCCAGUCAACAACCAAGCAGACAUUUUGUAUGUGUGAUCAUUGACGGAGUAGUUCUAGGACUACAGAAGCAUUGCAAAGGGCCAAGAAUAGCCAAAACAAUCUUGAAAAUUAAAUUUCCAAGACAUCAAAACUUACGAUAAAGCUGCAGUGAUUAUGACACCGUGGUAUUGCAUCAAGGAUUGGCAGAGACCAAUGGAACAGAAUAGAGUGAAAAAUCAGACCCACGCACGUGGUCACUUGACCUAUGACAAAGGUGGCACUGCAGAACAGUGGGAAUAAUACACUCUUCUCAAUAAAUGGUACCGAGUCAACUGGAUUACUCAGAUGCCCUUUCAGGCCUGAGGUACUCAUUGUUCCGGUGGCUGGGAGAGUUAGAUGGCUGCUCACUGCUCACAGCUGCCUCUCCUCCUGGGAAUUUCCCGUAGCCAAAGAAAGCAGCUUCUUCCAAGAUGAUUCUCUCUCCCUGAGGAUACUCCUACAUCAAUGACUGGUCAACGCAAGUAUGGAAAGUCCUGACCCUUCCUGGAUUGGCCUCUCAAGGACCAUUCUAGUUUAAGAGUUCCCCUUGGGAACAGCUUAGGUCAUGAAAGCAACUGCAUCCUCAAACUUAAGUCUCCCUCCACCCCAUCUAACUCCGUAUACUCCCUCUCAGAAGUUUACCCCAGUAAAACUUCUGCAUACAAAUCUUAGAGUCCCAGAUUCUGCUUCCUAGGGAACUCAACCUGGAACACACUGGAAAAAAUUAACCUUGACACUACCUCAUACCUUACAUACAAUUAAUUCCAAGUGAUAGUUUAUCUAAUGUGAGUCAUAAAAGAUAAAAUUUCUAUGAGAAUCUAACAUAACCAAGCCCCCACUACUUUGGAGUUGAAGAAAGAUUUCUUAAACAAGACACAAAAGCACUUAUCAUACAAAAAAAAGGCUGAUAAAUUGGACCACAUUCAAAUUAAGAUGUUCUGUUUAUCAAAGGAUACAAUUUAGAGUAAAAAGUCAAGCCACAAAUUCAGGGAAGAUAAACACAAUGCCUAUAAGCCACAAAGGAUUUGUAUAAAAAAAUACAUAAAGAAAGACCAAAAAAUCAAUAAGAAGAUAGAAAAAUCCAAUAGAAAAAAAGAAAAGGGUAAGAGGUUUGAAUGGGUACUUCCCACUCCCCAAAAGAUAUCAAAAUAGCCAGCAAACAAAUGAAAGGGGAUUCAAAGUUAUUAAUACUCAGAGAAUGCAAAUUAAAACCACAAUUAAAUAUUCACCUCAAACCCACUGGAAUGGCAAGAUUAACACUACCAGGUGUUGGUGGAAAAUGUAGAGCACCUAGAAUACUCAGACACAGCCUGAAGAAACUUGUGUUACAUAGUCUAAUAAAAUUGCAUACUUGCAUGUAUGUCUCUUUUAGGAAUAGCCCCAACAGAAAUGAGAGGACGUAUAUAUCAAAACACUUACGUGUAAAUGCUCAUAGAAAUGUUAUUCAUAAUAACAAAAAAUUAGAAUAGUCCAAAUGCCUGUUAAUUUUUAUAGACAAUAAAAAAAAAACAAGGCAAGGAAAAUAGAGUCAAAACAGAGGAAGCGUAAUCAGGAAGUGCCUGAAAAGCAAUGAAAUUAUGUUGAGGUAGAGGAUCUAAAAAUUAGGACAGUCUUGAAUAAGAGAAUGGCAAAGGGGGAUAAAAAUUUAACAUUUUAGAUAUGGUGUCUCAAACAAUUAAAGAAUUAUUAACACUUGAUUUAUUUAUAGAAAUGUAUAUAAUUCAUUCCUUCCACUAACUAGAGUAUUAUACACACCCAGCUUAUAAAUUGAAAUGAGCCAAACACCAAGAAAGUAAUGCAUCCCGUUACUGGGAUCUCUGCUCCUCUGAGUUGUUCAGCACAGUAGCAGCGCACCAGAAACUUGCACCACGACCACCAGCCUGCUAGCAGGCAGCUGUCCUGAAUGUAGGCCCAUGAUAGUUAAUUUUAUAUAUCAACUUGCCUGGGCUAUAGUGUCCAGAUAUUUGGUCAAACGUUGUUCUUGAUGUUUCUUGUGAGGGUGUUUUUUGAAUAAGAUGAAUAUUUAAUUGAUGGACUUAGAGCAAAGCAGAUUGCCCUCCAUCAUAUAGGUGGGUCUCAUCUAAUCAGUCAAAGGGCUCAAUAGAACAAACACCCCACCCCCCACCCUACAUCUCCCUACCCCAGCAAGACGGAAUUCCGCCAGUAGACUGUCUUUGGUCUUGAACUGCAACUCUUUCUGGAGUCUCCAUUCUGCCAACCUAUUCCAUCAGAUUUUGGACUCACAAAGCCUCUUACAAUCAUGGGAACCAAUUCUUUAAAAUCAACAGAUCAAACUCUCAGUCUCUCUCUGUCUCCCUCUCUCUCUUCCUUUCUCUCCCUCCCUUUCUACCCCCCCCCCCACACACACAUGCAUGCACACACACCCCGUCUUGUUUUCCAGAAAAGCCUGACUAACACAAGGCCUAAUAUCUGGGAACAGCCAGUUCCCCCACCUGGAUGAGCCUGGCAUGAAUAUUACUAGCUUCCUGGUCCUAAGUGCAGCCUGCCUCUUCAGUCCUUCUAUGCUCUCUGAAACUCACAGUCUUAAACAUAUCCUUUCCUCCCAGUCUUUCAAACUCUACCAUUUCCUCUGUGUCUUUACAGGGACCAAGCUGAAGACUCUCUGCAUUUGGGGACAGAGUCAUGUGUCUGUGCCAGGCUCUGGCUCCCCACUGAGCUUCCGUGUCUGCUCUGACAUCCGCUUCUCCUCUGAGCUGGCUUGUCCUAUCCUGAGUGUCCCCUGACACCUCAGUCUCUUCAGGAUCCUUUCCGUUGAGUUUCUAUUGAACAGGUUGAAACUGUCCAUAAAAGAAACUCUUCUAUUUAGUGUCAAAAGCAUCUCAGAUUUCAAUUUUUUUCUUUAAUAAAAGCACAUUCCCCAAGGUCAGUCAGUCUCGCUCAGCGCUGCUACUCAACAAGACAAAUAUUCUAAGGUUACAGUUUCUUCCCUCUGGCUCACUCCAAGAAAUCCUUUGUGGCCCUAAGGUUGAUUCACUACCUGAUCAUUCUUCAGCUUAGAAUCACUCAAGGGCUUAUAAAGACAUGGUCUCAGGCCCCCGUUCCCAGAGUUUUUGCCUCAGUAUUUCUGGGUGGGGCCUGGGAGCUUGCAUUUCUAACAUGUUCCCAGGUCAGGCUGAGGCUGUGGGUCCAGGGACCACACUUUGAGAACCACUGUUCUGGCUCUAGUUCUUUAAGUGCUGCCUCCUGUGCCUGUUCCUCCAUUGACUACCUGUAGUCCCUAAUUCUUUUAUAGAUAUCUCUCCUGGUCCACGAUGAAACUUGGAGGGGUAAAGGGAAUGGGAGCUCUCACAGGCUUCCACUGCAGGGAUAGGCCAAAAUAAGGGGGAAUUCAAUUCAACAUUGCAAACACUUUUUUUUUUUUUUUUUUUGAGUGGCUGCUGUGUUAUAAAGCACUGGCGGGGAGGGGUUAAAGAGAUAAAUGAGUUUCUGUUCUCAAGAAACUUAACAUGUAACAAAGCGAAAGCCCAGCAUAGCACUAACUAUAGGAGAAGGAAACAUGUAUUAUAUUACAGUACAUUCCAAAGCCCUUAGGACUACAGCCAACACUGUUGUUCUACCAAGCAUGUUCCCUAGGCCGACCCCACAGGUCAAGGGCAGACUUUUUCUCAGGGUCAUGAAAGUUCAGGGUCAACAAGUCCACAAUCCUGAGGGAGCAUCUCCUUAAAUUUCACAUCCUGAGGGUCUCGCUAUCCUCCUACCAGUGUUGGCAUGCCAGAGGUCACAAAAGAGUUCUACAGCUGCUGAUGGAUUCCAGCCUUUCUCUCCAUACAGGUAUUUUCUACCAGAGGAGUUGGCCAGGCGGGUCUGAACCACACAUACAGUUGGUGAUGGAGCCAAGAGCUCAUGAAGUGACAAUGCAAAGUGCAUAGAGCAAGAAAGAGCAGAGGGCCUAAGGCUGAUAUGUGAGGAAUGUCAGCCUUCCAGGGAUGGGAUUUAGAAAGCUAAGUGGGAAGAAAAGCGGGACAGUUGGAGAUCGUCUUUGAUGCCUGAUUGAAGUGUGUUAGAUGUGGACUUGCUUUCGGGAAGCUUCCAGGCUAGUAGGGAAAACAAGAUAACUAUUCUAGGACCAAGCACUAAAUCAGCGUUAAGGAGAGAGUGUAACAAAGAGGGAUAAGCUAAGGCUUGCCUUCACUUGGGCAAUAGGAUCCUCAGUUCUUCCAUUUAACAUUGUUGACAGUGAUGUUGAUUGCAGAGUGUUUUUAUGAAAAGUACAUAAAAUAAACUCCUAAGCACAGUCGCUGGCUCACAGUAAUCAUUCCCUAAGUUGUUUUUAUUGUAAUUUCUGUAGUGAUUCUGUUGCUGGUAGUGAUGAGUCAAGUUUCCAAGAAAGAGAGGGAGUUGUGGGCUGCGCUGGGGGUGAUGGGUGAUGGACAAUGGGGAGUUGGAAGAGUCGGAACAUUGAGCAGGAUUCACCUGCCUCCUGGGACAGGACACGUGAGCAAGGAGCAAGGUCGGUGAUUGUCAAAGUGUAGGAACGGGCCGGAGGAUCAGUUGGUUCAGAGUGUGUACUGCGUGGGGGUUGAGGCAUUAAUAGUAUGUUUGUUUUUUGUAACUAAGAAUGGUGGAAGAUGGCAACCAGACUUAUGUGGUGAUCGUUUCACAAUGUAUACAAAUAUUGAAUUACUAUGUUGUGCAUCUAAAACUAAUAUGUUUUAUGUCAAUUAUAUCUAAUUUUUUAAAAAAGGAGUAGAUAGGGUCCGCACUAUGAAUCUUGGGAUAGGAAGCUUGGGCUUUGUCCUAGAGUUCAUCAAGAACCUCUGAAGAUUGAUGACAAAAAUUAACAUAUUAUUGAAAACAAUCUUUUAGUGGGAUUAAUUUAUAAAUUGCAAGUAGUAGUUGGGGAGAGUGAUGCCACGUAGUUCAGCAUGUCAAAUAUGAGAUGAUGCAAUGUUAGUAGUGGAAAUGGAAAGAGAAUAUUCAAGACAAAUGCAAAAGAAAACAUCAAUUUAAAAGAGAAGACAAAGGCUUUAGGGUUAGAUAUGAAGGUGUGGGCAGAAGCAGAGGCAACUCUUUCCUUCAUACCUGGGCUUCCUACCCGGUCAGGUCUCUUAGAGAACAUUUGUAUUAACCUGCUUGUGCUUCCAUAAUGGAAUGCCCGACUGGGUGGCUUAAACAAGACAUUUAUUUUCUCAUAGUUCUGAAAUGCAAAAAUUCAAGAUCAAGGUGCCAUCACGGAUGGUUUCUGGUGAGAACUUUGUUCCUGGCUUACAGGUGGCUCCCUUCUCACUGAGUCCUCACCUGGCCUUUCUGCUAUGCCCUCACUGUGAGACAGGGGUCCCUUCUCUUCUUAUAAGGAAGCCAGCCCUAUUGGAUUAGGGUCCCAUGCUGUGAUCGCAUUUAACUGUAAUUCUCUCUCUAAAGGCUCUGUCUUCAAAUACAGUCACAUUGUGGUGGGGGGACUAGAGCUUCAUCAUAUGAACCUGGGCCGGGGGUGGUAGGGGACCCUACUCAGCCCGUAGCAGUGGUGUCAUAUGCUACAUGAGACAAAGGAAGUAUGAAGUUUGAGCUAACGGAGAGGAAAAUAGUUUUGGCAUUAAAUGCAAUGGUUGGUUAAUCUAUAGAGCCAUCCAGAAUAACAUUCUGUAAUGACAAAAAUGUUCUGUGUCAGCAUUGUUUGUUACGGUAGCCGCUAGUCACAAUAUGACAACUGAGCAUUUAAAUGUGGCUAGUGAGUCCGAGGAAGAGAGAUUUUAAGUAUAUAGAAUUUCAGUUUAAACUGUAUUGAACAGCACAAAUUAGAACUACAGGAACCCUAGGCAGCGUAAGGAGGUUUUAUCAAUAUUUAGGUAUCUAAGGCUUCUCCUAGGCUGUAAGGCCUUGUACUCUAGAUACUCAACUUCCAACCACCUCUUGUCAGCCAAGAAAACUCUGAAGCUCUGAAAAGAUAUAUGACUGUUCCAGGUUGACACAGCUGGUUACUAGACCCUAGAUCAUCAGUUAGGGAUUAAAUAUUUUUAUGGCAGCAGUCAUGCCAUUAGAAAUGCUUAACAGGCAGCUGGAGAUAAAUAGCUGUUUGUCAAGGACUGAGAUCAGUGCUGGGGAGUCAGUGCAUGGGUGUGAAAAUGUGGCCGUGAAAAUGGAUACAACAUACAAAGAAAAGAACAUGGGGCUCCACGUCAAGCCUUGAUAAAUACUGACAUGUAAAUGGAAGGAAAAUAAAAACAAAGCAUAAAAGGAAAUAGAUUUUCAUCUGCCAAUUUUAUACCAACAAUUAGAUAGCCCCAGAUCGCCACCUCCUCAACAUGCUCACAAUUCAUCUCAGACAGGUGGGCACAGUUAAAGAGCAAGAGCCCUUGCUGCCCGCCUCCCCGCCACGAGAGAGCUGGCUGCCCACAGCAAGGCACUUAACCUCUCUGUGUUCCAUCUCCUCCUUUGUCAAAUGGGGUUGAUGACAAGACUUCCGUCAGAAUGCUUUUGAGAUAAAGUGAGAUGCAUGUACAGUACCAGCAAAGCCCUGGCGCAUAAUACAGAUUCUUUAAAUUUUAGAUUGAAAAAAAACUUGUCUCGUCCCCAAUCUUAUUCCUCUUCCCGUGUCCCUGAUCUAGGCCAAGAGCCUUGCCCUUCAGCUAGUUGUUCUCUCUGGAAAUCUGAGUCAUCUUUGAUUCCUUCUUCUCCCUUAAUCACCACAUCCAGUAAUUCACCAAGUGUUAUUGAUUCUAGCUGCUCCGUCUUUCAGAUACAGCCACCUCUCUGUAUGCCCUCCACUACAGCUCUCACACACGUCUUCUGCACUUUCUGAAAAAAGCAUCCCUGUUUCCAAUAUGUUUGCUAUACCCAUCCAUUCUCUACACCAGGAUGGGAUUUCUACACCAUAGGAUCUCCAGAGUGGGAUUUUGAAACCUUGAGGUGUCCAGGGGAAGAUUUUAAACCCCAAGUCAUUUUGCAGCCUUCCCCAGCAGUUUCUUUUUGCAGACAGGAUUAAGUUGACAUUCCUCAGCAUGGCACUCAAGACCAUUCACAGCCCACCUGCAAACUACCUCUGUUUACAUAUUUCACCUUUUACUUUGAACCAAGAAUACAUAAAUAGGAACCCAUGCAUUUUAAAAGUUCAAAUGAAUAAUAGUCUUGUGACUCAGUGUGGACCUGGGAGGAAGAAGCAGGGUUUGUUUUUGUUUUUCAGAUUGACGUCUAGGGGAAAAUGCAAAAUUCCCUGUCAAACCUUGCAGAGAGAUUCCUUACCAGCACCUCCUGUUAUUAGGUACUAUUCCAACCCAGCCUUGUGAUUUUCUUCUCUCAUUUUUCAUGGUAGGGAGGUUCCUUUUUCAGUGCCUACAGCUUCAAGCCUGCCUCCUGGAACACACGCUGCGUGUAAUGUGGAUCGUUCCUAGUCUAUGUGAGAAUGAAGUGAAGAGCCCCAUAAAAUAAAGGAUCCCAUUGAAUUGGUUGCA